rnacentral:tRNA from 1 species
GCAGGUUUAGCUCAGCGGUAGAGCACCAGUAUCACACACUGGGGGUCGUAGGUUCAAACCCUACAACCUGCACCA